rnacentral:rRNA from 1 species
AUUCCAGCUCCAAUAGCGUAUACUAAAGUUGUUGCAGUUAAAAAGCUCGUAGUUGAAUUUCUGGUCGUGGCGACCGGUCCGCCCCUCACGGGGUGUGCACCUGGUCUCUGCGUCCAUCCUCGGGGAGAGCGUAUCUGGCAUUCAGUUGUCGGGUGCGGGAUCCUCGUCAUUUACUGUGAGCGAAAUAGAGUGUUCAAAGCAGGCUUAGGCCGUUGAAUACAUUAGCAUGGAAUAAUAAGAUAGGACCUUGGUCUAUUUUGUUGGUUUGCAUUCCAAGGUAAUGAUUAAUAGGGAUAGUUGGGGGUAUUCGUAUUCAAUUGUCAGAGGUGAAAUUCUUGGAUUUAUGGAAGACGAACUACUGCGAAAGCAUUUACCAAGGAUGUUUUCAUUA